AAACGACUGCUAAUACCGCAUAAUGUCUACGGACCAAAGGGGGCUUCGGCUCUCGCCUUUAGAUUGGCCCAAGUGGGAUUAGCUAGUUGGUGAGGUAAUGGCUCACCAAGGCGACGAUCCCUAGCUGGUUUGAGAGGAUGAUCAGCCACACUGGGACUGAGACACGGCCCAGACUCCUACGGGAGGCAGCAGUGGGGAAUAUUGCACAAUGGGCGCAAGCCUGAUGCAGCCAUGCCGCGUGUGUGAAGAAGGCCUUCGGGUUGUAAAGCACUUUCAGUCAGGAGGAAAGGUUAGUAGUUAAUACCUGCUAGCUGUGACGUUACUGACAGAAGAAGCACCGGCUAACUCCGUGCCAGCAGCCGCGGUAAUACGGAGGGUGCGAGCGUUAAUCGGAAUUACUGGGCGUAAAGCGUACGCAGGCGGUUUGUUAAGCGAGAUGUGAAAGCCCCGGGCUCAACCUGGGAACUGCAUUUCGAACUGGCAAACUAGAGUGUGAUAGAGGGUGGUAGAAUUUCAGGUGUANCGGUGAAAUGCGUAGANAUCUGANGGAAUACCGAUGGCGAAGGCANCCACCUGGGU
rnacentral:rRNA from 1 species